AUUGAACGCUGGCGGCAUGCCUUACACAUGCAAGUCGAACGGCAGCACGGGAGCAAUCCUGGUGGCGAGUGGCGAACGGGUGAGUAAUAUAUCGGAACGUGCCCAGUCGUGGGGGAUAACGUAGCGAAAGCUACGCUAAUACCGCAUACGAUCUAUGGAUGAAAGCGGGGGAUCGCAAGACCUCGCGCGAUUGGAGCGGCCGAUAUCAGAUUAGGUAGUUGGUGAGGUAAAGGCUCACCAAGCCGACGAUCUGUAGCUGGUCUGAGAGGACGACCAGCCACACUGGGACUGAGACACGGCCCAGACUCCUACGGGAGGCAGCAGUGGGGGAAUUUUUGGACAAUGGGCGCAAGCCUGAUCCAGCCAUGCCGCGUGAGUGAUGAAGGCCUUAGGGUUGUAAAGCUCUUUUUGUCCGGGUAAGAUAAUGACUGUACCGGAAGAAUAAGCCCCGGCUAACUUCGUGCCAGCAGCCGCGGUAAAGUG
rnacentral:rRNA from 1 species